rnacentral:misc_RNA from 1 species
GUGGCGUUUCGAACGAUGCACUUCAAAUUGGAAACCGUUGAAGUUGUUAGCGUUGGUGCUAAUUUAGUUCUAACUUUUUAACAAUCAAAAUUAGAGAAUAAUAACAAAGUUUAAUUGAGACAACUACAGAAAACUGUGAGGAAAAAGAUGUUAAAUGAGCCAAAUAAAGACCACAUUCCGGAGAAAUUUCCAAGAGAAAGAAACAACAUUGAUGACUUCAUAAAGAGGAGACCAAGUCUUAACAGAAGUAUUACUGGUGGUGGUUCUGGUUCAACUUUUCGAGCUGCUUGUGCUGCGGUAGACUCAUCCCUACCUCCUUCUGGGAAGAAACAUAAAAUAACAGAACUAUGUCUGAAUCAUACCCUGAAGGAAAUGAAGUUUAAUGCCUUAGAAAAAGAGCAAGAUGCUGUUGCUGCCUAUUCAGAAAGGCUACGGGAUAACAUUGAAGACAUUCUAAACAAAGUUCUAGUUUCUACUGGAGAUAAAGCUCAUCAGAAAUUUGAGAAACGAACAAGAUCAGCCACAAAACAACUGAAGAAUGAGAAGUUGCUGUGGAAUGAAGAAUACAAAAAGAGAAGAGAAGCCUAUUUAGAUGCAAAGAGUAAGCUUAAAGAUGUCUUGAAGGGAAGAGUGCAAAUUGAAACAGGCCGAUUGAAAUCUGAAGAUGUAAAGUUUCUAAAGAGCUUACCAGAUUUUGCAGCAGUCAACAAGAAAAUUGUUUCAUAUCAAACACGCCACUACAUAGGACUCGUACACCUGGAAAAAAAUUCCCAACAACUACAUCGGUCCUUAUCAACGGUUGAGCGUCAACUAGACGAAGUUCAGAGCAUGAUAGUUCCAACUUUUCAAUGGACAUAGGACCUUCUCCCAUUCCUUUCUGGAUAACGACGUCUACAAUAAUCCUUUCUUCCGCUACAUAAUCCGCUAUACUUUGCUGGCUUUCUUGUUGACGUAUGACAUGUGAUGGAGGUACUCCUGGCGGUAAAGUCCUCCCCGGAUUUCUAAUAUGAAUUUUAACUUCGCCACAACUUGUUCGAUGGUCUUCGAGUCACACUCAAUUCGCAAACGCCUCCAUUUUCUUUUAUCUGUGUCGUAAUACAUAAUAGCAACUGA